UACGAAGGGGGCUAGCGUUGUUCGGAAUUACUGGGCGUAAAGCGCACGUAGGCGGGUUGUUAAGUCAGGGGUGAAAUCCUGGAGCUCAACUCCAGAACUGCCUUUGAUACUGGCAACCUAGAGUCCGGAAGAGGAAAGUGGAAUUCCUGGUGUAGCGGUGAAAUGCGCAGAUAUCAGGAGGAACACCGGUGGCGAAGGCGGGGUCUCUGGGCCGAUACUGACGCUGGAGGAGCGAAAGCGUGGGGAGCGAACAGG
rnacentral:rRNA from 1 species